rnacentral:rRNA from 1 species
UACGAAGGUGGCAAGCGUUGUUCGGAUUUACUGGGCGUAAAGGGAGCGUAGGUGGUUAGGUAAGCCCUCCGGGAAAUCUUCAGGCUUAACCUGAAAAGGUCGGGGGGGGACUGCCUAGCUAGAGGGCGGGAGAGGAGCGCGGAAUUCCCGGUGUAGCGGUGAAAUGCGUAGAGAUCGGGAGGAAGGCCGGUGGCGAAGGCGGCGCUCUGGAACGUUUCUGACACUGAGGCUCGAAAGCGUGGGGAGCAAACAGG